rnacentral:SRP_RNA from 1 species
GCAGACCCCUCGUGCGGCGUCACCUUAUGAACCUCCCCAGGGCCGGAAGGCAGCAAGGAUAAGUAAGCUCUGGCGGGUGCGCGAGGGGUCCUUUGU